rnacentral:lncRNA from 1 species
AUUUAAGAUCAAGAGCAGCAGAAGGAACAAACAUGAAGGUGCUGUAUUUAGAGAAACUGUAAAGAAGAAAGAACAACUGAAUGCUAUAUUCAUAGUGAAUAUGUGGAUUCAUAUCCUGCAACAUAAGACAGGAGAGCAAAGGAGAAAGAAAUGUUUGAACACCAUGUUUCUAAUUUUUCACCCAAGGGAAUGAAUUCAGCAGACUGCAGUGUAAUCAAGGAGAAGAUGAAAGAUGAAGUAAAUAAGCAAGAACUCAGAAGAAGUGGGAGGCAGACAUCACUUAUGGAAAUUCUUGGCUGCUACUUCACGCCUCCACCUUCAGAUGCAGAAUUUAAGUGCAAAGAAA